rnacentral:rRNA from 1 species
CCAGCCGCCGCGGUAAUACGUAGGGUGCGAGCGUUGUCCGGAAUUAUUGGGCGUAAAGAGCUUGUAGGUGGUUUGUCGCGUCUGCGGUGAAAUCCCAACGCUUAACGUUGGGCUUGCCGUGGGUACGGGCAGACUAGAGUGUGGUAGGGGAGACUGGAAUUCCUGGUGUAGCGGUGAAAUGCGCAGAUAUCAGGAGGAACACCGAUGGCGAAGGCAGGUCUCUGGGCCAUAACUGACACUGAGAAGCGAAAGCAUGGGGAGCGAACAGGAUUAGAUACCCUGGUAGUCCAUGCCGUAAACGUUGGGCGCUAGGUGUGGGGCUCAUUCCACGAGUUCCGUGCCGCAGCUAACGCAUUAAGCGCCCCGCCUGGGGAGUACGGCCGCAAGGCUAAAACUCAAAGGAAUUGACGGGGGCCCGCACAAGCGGCGGAGCAUGCGGAUUAAUUCGAUGCAACGCGAAGAACCUUACCAAGGCUUGACAUACACCGGAAACAUCCAGAGAUGGGUGCCCCGCAAGGUCGGUGUACAGGUGGUGCAUGGUUGUCGUC